CCUAAUCAUUUUAGUUGCCCUUCCCUGAACCUUUUCUAGGGCCAGUAUAUCUUUUUUGAGCUGAGGAGAGCACAUCUGUACGUAGUAUUCAAGAUGCCGGCAUACCAUGG